CAUAAGCACAUUUUUAUAACUUCCUACAGAGGCUGGUGUCAGGCAUUCUCCAGAUAAGGUUUGGAGGCAGUGUGUCAGCAGCAACUCCCUCUUUCCCAGGCUGUUUGUCAAAACAAACGGCUGCAGAGUGGGCUGAGGGAUGAUGAGCGUUUCUCGUGUUGGCAGGAGAAAGUAAACAAUUGAGGUGAUGCUGAAGUCAAGAAGACUCAGAUCCGGACUCAGACACACACUAGCUGCAUGAUCCUAGGCAAGGCACUUACCCCACUGGGAUGGUCUCAGCCUCCUCAUUGGAAAAAUGAUUUGGAGAAGGUAAUGGUGAACCGUUCCAAGAUCUUUGCCAAGAAAACCCCAAAUAAAGUCACAAAGAAUUGGACAAGACUGAACAACAAUAAGUGUGCUAAGUACUGAGGAUAUUAAAAGAAGCAAAUCCCUGCCCUCAAGGACAAUAACAAAGAAUGCAUGAGUGGAUAAGAUGGGAUUUUACACGUGUUCAAAUCAAGCUCUAUAAGAACCAACAGACCAAACAAGUUGCCUGAUGAGAGACAUGUUGCUGGGUUCUGUGUAAGCAUCAACCUCUGCUUCCUGGCAAGGCUCAAGGAUGGGACUCAGCAGUUUAUUUUCACCAGAAGCCUCAGUCUCCUCCCUAAGGCUGGCAAAAUCAGCAAACUGCCCUAGCACUAAGGCCGGCCUAUCGUGGUCUCUUGAGGAUGCAGUGACCCGAGGGGAAGUCACACUGAAAAAAGGGCUGAAAGUUACCAGCUGAGGGCAAGAGCCAGAGCUCCAAAGUUACCUGUGUCGAUGCUCCCUUGGGUACUGCUGCUUGCCCUUCCUAUGGAAAGACUACGAUGGCUGGCGUUACGAAACUGGGAGGAGAAGGAAGAAGUGGAGUCUAUGGUGUUUCUCCGAGCUCCGAAGGCAUUGCUCUCCAUCUGGCAGGCCCAAAUGGCACGCUGAUUCGGCGGUGAUGGAAGAAUUUGGCCACCCUUCUACCCAACGCUUGUUGCUGUGUGGAGCCAGUCAGAGGUCCUGCCGAACCCCCAGGGACACGGUUUGGGAUGCCAGAGAACAGGCCGAGUAUCACAUUUCCUGAGC